rnacentral:rRNA from 1 species
AGCGAACGCUGGCGGCAGGCCUAACACAUGCAAGUCGAACGAAGUCUUCGGACUUAGUGGCGGACGGGUGAGUAACACGUGGGAACGUGCCCUUUGGUACGGAAUAACUCAGGGAAACUUGAGCUAAUACCGUAUGUGCCCUUCGGGGGAAGGAUUUAUCGCCAUUGGAGCGGCCCGCGUCUGAUUAGCUAGUUGGUGAGGUAAAGGCUCACCAAGGCGACGAUCAGUAGCUGGUCUGAGAGGAUGAUCAGCCACAUUGGGACUGAGACACGGCCCAAACUCCUACGGGAGGCAGCAGUGGGGAAUCUUGCGCAAUGGGCGAAAGCCUGACGCAGCCAUGCCGCGUGAAUGAUGAAGGUCUUAGGAUUGUAAAGUUCUUUCACCGGGGACGACAAUGACGGUACCCGGAGAAGAAGCCCCGGCUAACUUCGUGCCAGCCGCCGCCGUAA